rnacentral:rRNA from 1 species
CCUACGGGAGGCUGCAGUGAGGAAUAUUGGUCAAUGGACGCAAGUCUGAACCAGCCAUGCCGCGUGCAGGAAGACGGCUCUAUGGGUUGUAAACUGCUUUUGUAAGAGGGUAAACGCAGAUACGCGUACCUUUCUGCAAGUAUCUUACGAAUAAGGAUCGGCUAACUCCGUGCCAGCAGCCGCGGUAAUACGGAGGAUUCAAGCGUUAUCCGGAUUUAUUGGGUUUAAAGGGUGCGUAGGCGGUCGGAUAAGUUAGUUGUGAAAUCCCGCGGCUCAACUUCGGAAUUGCCUUUGAUACUGGCAGGCUAGAGAGCAGUUGCGGUAGGCGGAAUGUAUGGUGUAGCGGUGAAAUGCUUAGAGAUCACACAGAACACCGAUUGCGAAGGCAGCUUACCAAGCUACGUCUGACGUUGAGGCACGAAAGCGUGGGGAGCAAACAGGAUUAGAUACCCCAGUAGUC